AUUGAACGCUGGCGGCAGGCCUAACACAUGCAAGUCGAGCGAGCGGCGGACGGGUGAGUACUGUAUGGGGAUCUGCCCGAUAGAGGGGGAUAACUACUGGAAACGGUAGCUAAUACCGCAUACUAUCGUAUGAACCCCGAUGGGAUUAGCUAGUAGGUUAGGUAAGGGCUUACCUAGGCGACGAUCACUCGAUGGUCUGAGAGGAUGAGCAGCCACACUGGGACUGAGACACGGUCCAGAAUCCUACGGGAGGCAGCAGUGGGGAAUAUUGCACAAUGGGCGCAAGCCUGAUGCAGCCAUGCCGCGUGUAUGAAGAAGGCCUUAGGGUUGUAAAGUACUUUCAGCGGGGAGGCGUUACCGACAGAAGAAGCACCGGCUAACUCCGUGCCAGCAGCCGCGGUAAUAC
rnacentral:rRNA from 1 species